rnacentral:rRNA from 1 species
GAUGAACGCUGGCGGCGUGCCUAAUACAUGCAAGUCGAGCGAAUGGAUUAAGAGCUUGCUCUUAUGAAGUUAGCGGCGGACGGGUGAGUAACACGUGGGUAACCUGCCCAUAAGACUGGGAUAACUCCGGGAAACCGGGGCUAAUACCGGAUAACAUUUUGAACCGAAAGGUUCGAAAUUGAAAGGCGGCUUCGGCUGUCACUUAAGGAUGGACCAGCGUCGCAUUAGCUAGUUGGUGAGGUAACGGCUCACCAAGGCAACGAUGCGUAGCCGACCUGAGAGGGUGAUCGGCCACAUUGGGACUGAGACACGGCCCAGACUCCUACGGGAGGCAGCAGUAGGGAAUCUUCCGCAAUGGACGAAAGUCUGACGGAGCAACGCCGCGUGAGUGAUGAAGGCUUUCGGGUCGUAAAACUCUGUUGUUAGGGAAGAACAAGUGCUAGUUGAAUAAGCUGGCACCUUGACGGUACCUAACCAGAAAGCCACGGCUAACUACGUGCCAGCCGCCGCAGUAA